AACAUAACAGAACUUUUAAACUG
rnacentral:snRNA from 1 species